rnacentral:lncRNA from 8 species
AUGUCAGGAGGAGAUGAGAAGAGAGGGGGAGCAGGGAAAGGAGGAGAAGAGAGGGGGAGCAGGGAAAGGAGGGGGAGCAGGGAAAGGAGGAGAAGAGAGGGGGAGCAGGGAAAGGAGGGGGAGCAGGGAAAGGAGGAGAGGAGGAUGAUAAAGGGGUUUAUGGUUCCUGUUAGACUGAAACUCAGCAGGAAACCUAGCCAGCCUGCCGCUUUGAACACACUCACACACACCACGUAUCACACAGGCACUCACACACACCACGUAUCACACAGGCACUCACACACACCACGUAUCACACAGACACUCACACACACCACGUAUCACACAGGCACUCACACACACUACGUAUCACACAGGCACUCACACACACUACGUAUCACACAGGCACUCACACACACCACGUAUCACACAGACACUCACACACACCACGUAUCACACAGGCACUCACACACACCACGUAUCACACAGACACUCACACACACCACGUAUCACACAGGCACUCACACACACUACGUAUCACACAGGCACUCACACACACCACGUAUCACACAGGCACUCACACACACUACGUAUCACACAGGCACUCACACACACUACGUAUCACACAGGCACUCACACACACUACGUAUCACACAGGCACUCACACACACCACGUAUCACACAGGCACUCACACACACCACGUAUCACACAGGCACUCACACACACCACGUAUCACACAGGCACUCACACACACCACGUAUCACACAGGCACUCACACACACCACGUAUCACACAGGCACUCACACACACCACGUAUCACACAGGCACUCACACACACCACGUAUCACACAGGCACUCACACACACUACGUAUCACACAGGCACUCACACACACCACGUAUCACACAGGCACUCACACACACCACGUAUCACACAGGCACUCACACACACCCAGCAGAAAAACACAUUCCCCUGUGUUUCUGUGGUGUCAGUGAUUUUUGCCUUUUGAGUGGUUGUAGCUCCUGUAAAGCAGCACAUUUGUUAACACCAAACCUCUCCUAUCCUUAG